rnacentral:rRNA from 1 species
CUACGGGCGGCAGCAGUGAGGAAUAUUGCACAAUGGGGGGAACCCUGAUGCAGCAACGCCGGGUGGAGGAUGACGCAUUUCGGUGUGUAAACUCCUUUUAUAUGUCAAGAAAAUGACGGUAGCAUAUGAAUAAGCACCGGCUAACUCCGUGCCAGCAGCCGCGGUAAUACGGAGGGUGCAAGCGUUACUCGGAAUCACUGGGCGUAAAGGACGCGUAGGCGGGCUUGUAAGUCAGGUGUGAAAUCCUACAGCUUAACUGUAGAACUGCACUUGAAACUACGAGCCUAGAGUAUGGGAGGGGCAGAUGGAAUUAGUGGUGUAGGGGUAAAAUCCGUAGAUAUCACUAGGAAUACCUAAAGCGAAGGCGAUCUGCUGGAACAUAACUGACGCUAAGGCGUGAAAGCGUGGGGAGCAAACAGGAUUAGAUACCCGCGUAGUC